CAUCUGUCCAAAUCUUUAAUCACUCUUUCCUCCUCUUCACAAUUGUUAACAGAGCAACAAAAUCCACUCAACAAUUUCAAAAAAUAAUAUUUUUCCUUAUUCCAAAGUUCUACAUCCAAUAUAUACUAUAGAGUUAUACCCCUAUAGAUUUGCCUUUUAGCUCUACGACACAACAAUGGAGAAUAGUAGUAAUGGUACGAACGGGAAAAGAAUAAGAGCUGAAGAUGUGAUAUGUAAGCUCAAAGACGACGGUGAUUUCGAUAAACUUCGCCUCAAAAUUCUCCGCAAACUCAAAGAAAACGAAGAGUUGCGGAAUAGCAUAAUAGCCACUGUGAAAGAAUCAGCAGCACUUAACCGUCCAGGUGCAGAAAAUAUGAAACCAAGGCAACUGUCGGAUGCUAUAUAUCAAGAAGUUGGGGACAAAGUCAUGGGUAAAAUUUCAGAGGAUUUAUGGAAUACAAUCAGAACUGGUGAUGGCAUUCAAACUGAGAUAACCCAAACUGUUCAAUCAGUUUACAAUAAGUUAUUGAACCCACAACUAAAUGAAGCUGGUGAAUCAUCCUCUCAUUCAGAAUUGCAGCCUGCUCCGAAUGGAGUUGAAACUAACGGACAUAGUGCUGCUUCAGACCGUGGUAUUGAUGCCACAUUUUCUGUUGAUCCAGAGCCAAGUGAACCUCCUGGUUUUGCCCGAUUAGGUUCAGAUCAGAAUAGCAAAAGUAACUGUUCAAAUCAGAUUAACAAAACUAACCAUAAGGAAUCGCCCAAAGAGGAAUCAGGAUUUCCUAUUCCUGCUGAUGGAAAAGCCAGAGAAACACAUACCGAGCCGGAGACGAAUGGCGCACCUGACCCUUUGGUGCCUGACAGUAUGGAUGUGGAUGCACCACCUGGCUUUGCUAUUGUCACGAAGGAGAAGAAUCCAGAUGAUGUUGAUGAUGAAGAUCCUGAUGUGCCUCCAGGAUUUGGCUAAUCGCUUAUUAAGUUAUUAUACUUCUGGUAGUGUUUUUUGGAAAAGGUUAGCCAAUUCAGUUGGUCAUUGUCGUAUCAAGUUCAAACAGCUCGUGUUGACACUUACAGAGAGUACUUUACGUUGACUGCGCCGGCUAGCAGCUCAUGACUUCUCUUUCUUCAAUUUCCCAAGGAAUUGAUGCUGUGGAUUGGACAAAGGAAAAUUAGUUGCUCAUACCAAUUGGCAAGAAGGUAUACAACACUAACUUUAGGUACAAGAAGUGUUACUUAUUGGUUUUAGAAAGUUCAAGUAUGGUGGUUGGAAUUUGAAAUUAGGUUCGUUUGCCACUCUUGUAAUAUGAUUCGGUUUUUUACAACAUGGAAAGAUAGGCUUUUCCGAAGGUCUAUCGGAAGCAGUCUCUCUACUUCUACAAGGUAUGAGUAAGGUCUGCGUACACACUACCCUCCCUUGAAUCUUCGCUGGGUAUGUUGUCGUUUUGUUGUUUGAAAGUUAGGGUUUCGCAAUUACUUGAUCUAUUUAGUUUUAGCAGUUUCGUUUAAAACAUUGUAUUACCAUUUUAGUUGUUAAUGAAAUAACUGUCAUUUAAUUG